UCAGGCUCUGCUUCCAGGACACCAGCCUAGGUCAAGGAGAGAAGCCAAGAUACUAUAAUUGGAACUGAGGGAUAGAAAUGCCUCCAACCAAAAUCAUGAAGGUCACAAGUAGCACUGUCAAAAAUAGAGCCAACCUUGUUCUAUAACCUGUACCUGGAUCCUUUCCAUAUUGCCAAACUGCCAACUGGUGACUGAGAUGGUGACACUGAUGGUCAAGAGACUAUGGAAAACGACAAGAAGAAAAAGGUGGGGCGCAAGGAAAGUGCAGGCUUCUGUUAGACCUUCUGCCUUCUUCUUGGGACUUGGGCUUUUAAAAUAAUGUAGAAGCUAAAGACAAUCAGCAACUCAUGAACACCCUGAAGCAAAUUUCCAUUUCUUUAUGAUUCUACCUUCCCCAUGUCACUUUGCAUUUGUAAAAAGCAUUGCAACAUUGCAAUCACUUGUAAUGCUGUCUGAUUAGAAGCUGAAUCCAUUUUUCUGUGCAAAUAUGAAGUUUCCCAUUGUAUGAAA
rnacentral:lncRNA from 1 species